rnacentral:tRNA from 1 species
CAGGGAGACAAUAAAUUGAUUGUGAUGUCUAAGUUAUUUAUUCUUAGGCCGCAAUCCUGUCACCUUAAGGUCGAUCGGUACCUCAGAUUUUUGAAUUAGUUUUAUAAUUGAUUCUUUGAUUUCAGUUCCUAAACUUGUCUAGGUCACACCCAACAAAGGUUUCUCCUGGGCCAUUAGCUCAGGUGGUUAGAGCGCACCCCUGAUAAGGGUGAGGUCCCUGGUUCAAGUCCAGGAUGGCCCAUUCGUUGUUGGGGGUAUAGCUCAGUUGGUAGAGCGCCUGCUUUGCAAGCAGGAUGUCAGCGGUUCGAGUCCGCUUACCUCCACUGAAAACUAUCCUGAUAACUAAAUUCUGGAGAAAAAAAAUUGUAGAUGUGGCUUAGAAUUGUCUAUUUGAAGAGAACCUAGCUUCUUGUCAUCUUUUUAUAGUUGAUAAAAUGCUGGGCUCGCAUGGAUUAUUUCCAUGAGAAUUCAGUAGAACCUUGAAAACUGCAUAGAUAAGAAAGAAUAAAGCAUCUCAUGGAUGCAUAAUUCUGUUUUUAUAAUUUAGCCUUAAAACUAAAUUAUUUAAUUAUAGAAUUCAUGUUUAAUUCUUGAGUAAUAGCCGAGCACAAUUGAUUUUGUGAUUGUAUUUAA